rnacentral:lncRNA from 1 species
UUUAACAAUGCGAUUCUAUUGCAAUGAAAUCAAGAGAUUUAAAAUUUUGAUUGUAAAAAAAAAUUAAGGACUAAAAUAAAAAAUAGUGAAAAUGUUGGGACCAAUGUGCGAUUAAUUCUUAAAAAAAUUGCAUGUGAGCCCCACAACCUCCCAAAAUAAAGGGAGAGCUUAUUUUAAGAUUAAUUUUAAGAUGAAUUCCGGAUUUAAAUUUUAAAUUUUAAAUUUGAUUUUUGGGGACUAAAGUAAAAAAUAAUGUUUACGGACUAAAAUUGGCAUACAACAGAAAUUAGAUAGACGAUGGCAUGAUAAUAUUGUUAAUUCUAAAACGUCUUUUAAUAUUGCCAAAGUUUCAAAAUUUUGAUUGCAAAUAAAA